UACGUAGGGUGCAAGCGUUGUCCGGAUUUAUUGGGCGUAAAGAGCUCGUAGGCGGUUUGUCGCGUCGGCUGUGAAAACUCGGGGCUCAACCCCGAGCCUGCAGUCGAUACGGGCAAACUAGAGUGUGGUAGGGGAGACUGGAAUUCCUGGUGUAGCGGUGAAAUGCGCAGAUAUCAGGAGGAACACCGGCGGCGAAGGCGGGUCUCUGGGCCAUAACUGACGCUGAGGAGCGAAAGCGUGGGGAGCGAACAGG
rnacentral:rRNA from 1 species